UACAGAGGGGGCAAGCGUUGUUCGGAAUUACUGGGCGUAAAGGGCGCGUAGGCGGCCUGUUAAGUCGAACGUGAAAUCCCCGGGCUCAACCCGGGAACUGCGUCCGAUACUGGCAGGCUUGAAUCCGGGAGAGGGAUGCGGAAUUCCAGGUGUAGCGGUGAAAUGCGUAGAGAUGUGGAGGAACACCGAUGGCGAAGGCAGCCCCCUGGGCUAACACUGACGCUCAUGCACGAAAGCGUGGGGAGCAAACAGG
rnacentral:rRNA from 1 species